AUUUCAGGCAUGUUGAUUUUUAGUUUCUAGAGUUAGAAUUGAAUGGGCGGAAGGAACUCAGCUUGAUGUACUUUAGUUUCUGGGUUUUCUUCUUUCUCUCUUUGUUACUGACUUUGUUUCAGGUGCUGUACCUGUUCAGUCUAUUGCUCCUAGGCCGAUUGGCUCUAGAUGUUUGAAGAAACUCAGGUUAUGUUUGAAUAUGGAAUUUUAAAUUCAACUAUUCAAGGAUUUGAAUUUAAACUCUUAAUUCAAAUUGAAUGAAUCAAUAUUUGGACUUGUGACCAAUGAAUGUAAGAAAUCAAUUAAAGUAAACCCAUGUGUUG
rnacentral:misc_RNA from 1 species